GCCUCCAUGGCCUAGUGGUUAGAGCAUCUGCUGCAGAUGCGGGAGGUCAUGGGUUCAAUCCCCAGUCGAGUCA